GGGACAUUUACAUACGCUCUAUAACCUUUGUGAACAUACGUACAACUGUUGCUUCGCGCGGGUAUGCCGUCCCCUGAAAAGGACGCCUCCCGGACCCGGACCGGACCCCCCGGCGGGACCGGACCCGGGCGCCCGCCGGAGGAUAACCAAACUCUAUUGUAACGACGUUUCUUCUGAGUGGCAUAAGCAAGAUAAUCAAAGACUUUUAACAACGGAUCUCUUGGUUCUGGCAUCGAUGAAGAACGCAGCGAAAUGCGAUAAGUAAUGUGAAUUGCAGAAUUCAGUGAAUCAUCGAAUCUUUGAACGCACAUUGCGCCCGCCAGCAUUCUGGCGGGCAUGCCUGUUCGAGCGUCAUUUCAACCCUCAAGCUCUGCUUGGUGUUGGGGCUCUACGGUCGACGUAGGCCCUCAAAGGUAGUGGCGGACCCUCCCGGUAGCCUCCUUUGCGUAGUAACAUUUCGUCUCGCACUGGGAUCCGGAGGGACUCUUGCCGUAAAACCCCCCGAAUUUUCCAAAGGUUGACCUCGGAUCAGGUAGGAAUACCCGCUGAACUUACGCAUAUCAGUU
rnacentral:rRNA from 1 species